AACAGAAGUUGAGGUAGAAGAAAGAAGCAAGUUCGCUAAUCAUCUUGGCCUUAAAUUGGAAGAUUAUUCUGGAUUAUCUGGGUGGCGUGAUCCAUCUGUCCAGAGGAAAGACAGUGAACAUAUAUAGGACUGAAUGUAGGAGAAAAGAAGAUAAAACACUGCACAAGUCAUGUGUGUGGGAAGGCAAGGCGAUAAAGAGCAGAUGUGGUCUCUUUAUGUUACCUAGGUUUGUCUUAAACUUCCAGUCCUCCUGCUGGGACUAUAGAAGAAUGCCAC